rnacentral:rRNA from 1 species
AGUGAACGCUGGCGGUAGGCCUAACACAUGCAAGUCGAACGGCAGCACAGUAAGAGCUUGCUCUUACGGGUGGCGAGUGGCGGACGGGUGAGGAAUACAUCGGAAUCUACUUUUUCGUGGGGGAUAACGUAGGGAAACUUACGCUAAUACCGCAUACGACCUACGGGUGAAAGCAGGGGAUCUUCGGACCUUGCGCGAUUGAAUGAGCCGAUGUCGGAUUAGCUAGUUGGCGGGGUAAAGGCCCACCAAGGCGACGAUCCGUAGCUGGUCUGAGAGGAUGAUCAGCCACCCUGGAACUGAGACACGUUCCAGACUCUUACAGGAGGCAGCAGUGCGGAAUAUUGGACAAUGGGCGCAAGCCUGAUCCAGCCAUACCGCGUGGGUGAAGAAGGCCUUCGGGUUGUAGAGCCCUUUUGUUGGGAGAGAAAAGCAGCAGGUUAAUACCCCGCUGUUCUGACGGUACCCAAAGAAUAAGCACCGGCUAACUUCGUG